GCAGCCUGAUGCAGCCAUGCCGCGUGUGUGAAGAAGGCCUUCGGGUUGUAAAGCACUUUCAGUCAGGAGGAAAGGUUAGUAGUUAAUACCUGCUAGCUGUGACGUUACUGACAGAAGAAGCACCGGCUAACUCCGUGCCAGCAGCCGCGGUAAUACGGAGGGUGCGAGCGUUAAUCGGAAUUACUGGGCGUAAAGCGUACGCAGGCGGUUUGUUAAGCGAGAUGUGAAAGCCCCGGGCUCAACCUGGGAACUGCAUUUCGAACUGGCAAACUAGAGUGUGAUAGAGGGUGGUAGAAUUUCAGGUGUAGCGGUGAAAUGCGUAGAGAUCUGAAGGAAUACCGAUGGCGAAGGCAGCCACCUGGGUCAACACUGACGCUCAUGUACGAAAGCGUGGGGAGCAAACAGGAUUAGAUACCCUGGUAGUCCACGCCGUAAACGAUGUCUACUAGAAGCUCGGAACCUCGGUUCUGUUUUUCAAAGCUAACGCAUUAAGUAGACCGCCUGGGGAGUACGGCCGCAAGGUUAAAACUCAAA
rnacentral:rRNA from 1 species